UUUUUUUUUUUUGUUUAAUAUUUGCGUUGUUAGUGUAAAUCUUUAUAUGGGAGCUCCAAAUUGCAAAAAUAAUAUUUAGUUUCUUGUUUAAAUCGUCAGAUCUGUUAGUUUCCGAGUCCAAAAAAAACAAAAAAAAAAAAAUCUAUGUUUUUUUUGAAAAUGUAGGUUUUUUCAUAUUAGCUUUCUGCGGAGAUUAGAAUAUUCGGUAUCAUAAGAACUGUUGUUCUGUUUUUAGUGUUGAUUGUUGAUCUACAAUGGUAAAAUUUUGGCUGCAAUUUUAUGAAAAAUAUAGUCUUUUUAGAUGAAAUAGUUUAAUCCAGCAGAUUAGUCAUGGUUUAUGGCUCUAAUUUUGAGAUCAUGAAUUUAAAGCUAGGUGUGACGAAUAAAUCAGUAUAAAGGAGUGCUCCUAUUGCUUUUGUAAGUUCAUAUUACAGGUAAGUAUGAUAAGAUUUUCGGACGGCCUUACUUUACUAUGGGGCUCUUUUGGUUUUAGGGAUGUGAUUGAUAAAAUUUGAUUGAUUAAGUAACGAUCGCCCUGUUGAGUUUGUUUAACAAUUGAAAAAUUGACGUUUGGAUUAUGGGAAUGAACUUUUUUUGUAGCCGGAUAAAUAUAUCAAGAUCUUAUUUGAAUUGAUUGAUAAAAUAGUAUAUAAAUUAUUACACUAUUUGGACUACGGAUAAGAAGCAUUAAACAUCUACUUGGAAGUUCCUUUAAUCCGAUUUUUGUUUGAUUUUGCAGAAGGUUUCCCAGAAGUAGCAAGUUUGGAAAAAAAAAAACGAGCAGGGGGAAAUGAUCUUGAGAAUCGGCUAUUUAUAUACGCAUUCUCGUUGAAAGCUAGACAACUAAAGCAAAUUGGGCUUACGACAAAAAGUGCCCUAAAGAGCUUAUUGUUCGUUGCUAGUUGGUGUGGUGCAGUGCUCUAUUAUUCGUGACCUACUCGAAAAAACGGGCUUUUCUCGAUGAAGGAGGAGGAGGGUGCAGGUUUUUCUCAAGGAAGGAGGAAGAGGGGUUGCAGAUUUUUGCUCCUUUUCUUUUCUUUUAUUAUUAUUAUUAUUAUUAUUAUUAUUAUUAUUAUUAUUAUUAUUAUUAUUAUUAUUAUUAUUAUUAUUUGUUUUUUUUCUUUCUUUUUUAUUUAGUUUGAUGAAUGUAGGGGAAUAUACACUUUUGACCCUGCCAAACUCACGUGAAUGGCAUGUGGUGUAAGAUUCCGGUCAAAAUUGCAUUU